rnacentral:lncRNA from 1 species
CAACAUCAAAGGCCUGAGAGCUAUGUACACACUGCACAAUUUUGCUACAAACUUGGGACAAGAUGCAGCUCUCCUUCCCCAUUUCGGGAGCAUAAUGAUGUGUAAGUGUAACACACGCUUCAGAUGUCUUGUCUUAUCGUCCCCAGCCAGAAAAUACAAUUUAUUUAAGACCGGACUGUCAGGCCCAGCUCGCUGCUGCUUCAGACCUGCCAUCCUCCCAGGAAUCACUCCGCGCUCCCGCCUAGACUGCCUACGGACCCAGUGGCCCCAUGAAGGAGAGGAAACCAACCAUUCCUGAUCCUCUACUCUGUGCAGGGCCCUGCUUGGCAUUUCCAUAGGUGUUCUCUCUUCCCUAAUUAUGGUCCAGCUCUCCUGAUAUGGAGGCAUCUGGUGAUCACAUCCCCAUUUCACAGUUGAAGAGACUGA